rnacentral:rRNA from 1 species
UACGUAGGGUGCAAGCGUUGUCCGGAUUUACUGGGCGUAAAGGGCGCGUAGGCGGUCAGCACAAGUCAGUUGUGAAAUCUCCGGGCUUAACUCGGAAAGGUCAACUGAUACUGUGCGACUAGAGUGCAGAAGGGGCAACUGGAAUUCUCGGUGUAGCGGUGAAAUGCGUAGAUAUCGAGAGGAACACCUGCGGCGAAGGCGGGUUGCUGGGCUGACACUGACGCUGAUGCGCGAAAGCCAGGGGGGCGAACGGG